rnacentral:lncRNA from 1 species
GCCACCGUCGAUGUCCGUUUUCGUCAAAUUUCUGCAGUCAAAGCUGAAUUUUGAAGAAACUGAGCCUUUAUUUCAAAAUCGGAAAAUUUCAGUCUGUAGAUUAGAGUAUUGUGAUAUUUUGAGCCUUUGAUCAUCAAAGUGCAUGGUGUUGUGGUUGAGAAAGUACUGUUUCCCCACAAGAAAUCUCGGCCCUCAGCCGACGAUCCUCUCAGUUGACGGUAAAUUUAAAGAAUCAGAACACUUAAUUUCAAAAUCCAAGGAUUUCAGUCUGUAGUUAAGACUUUUUUCUCUCAUUCAAGUCCAAAAACUUGCAAUUCCAUUGCGAAUCGACGAAGAAAGUACUGUAUCCGACUAGCCGGAUAACAAGCUUUUUCAAUCAGUCAGUCGUUUAAAAUUAAUUGCCCGCCACAACAAAGGUUUGUUGACAUUUUAGGUUAUGUGUCCGGUCUUUAUCAUGGUCAAAAGCUCAUAAGCUCGCAUAGUGAAUUUCAAAUUUAUUGCAAUCAUUUUGAUCGUGUCGUAUGAACUAAAAGAAGGAACAAGUGUGCUAGUAUUCUGUGUUUAUUGUGAUAAUUUUUAUUUUGCCUUCAAUUUAUCUUCUGGAGAAUCGUUCAGUGCUGUACCAAAAUUGGCUCUUGCUGGGUUGCGGAGCUCUCUUUCAUCAAGGUCCCACAUUUUACCUUAACACUGGUUUCUGGUGUCUAUACCUUGCCGGACACACCAAUCAUAUUGCUGUAUCUCACUCCAGAUGGAACGCUCCUGAACACUUUUAAAACGAAAGGCUACUCCUUGCAAUACCUUCUCUCUAAAUCUGACAGUGUGAUGAUAGAUGAUUUCGCCGCUUCUUUUGUGAAGCAGUCAGAUGCACACUCUCCGUCAUAGCGAAACAAAAGUCUAUCAUUGGAUUCGUGCGACAAGCUAUGCGACAAGCUCUGAUUAAAUGCCUGUAAGUUCCAUAAUACUUAGAAUCCUUUAUACAAAAAUCAUGGUGAAUGGUGAUGCCAUCUUAGCAGUGUUCGAAACUCACCUUCGAGUUUUAGGAGCCAUGUGGCGCAUCAAGCCCGAUUUUUAGGCGCCAUUAA